AUGAACGCUAGCGGCAGGCUUAACACAUGCAAGUCGAGGGGCAGCACGAGGUAGCAAUACUUUGGUGGCGACCGGCGCACGGGUGCGUAACGCGUAUGCAACCUACCUUUAACAGGGGCAUAACACUGAGAAAUUGGUACUAAUUCCCCAUAACAUUCGAGAAGGCAUCUUCUUGGGUUAAAAACUCCGGUGGUUAAAGAUGGGCAUGCGUUGUAUUAGCUAGUUGGUGAGGUAACGGCUCACCAAGGCAACGAUACAUAGGGGGACUGAGAGGUUAACCCCCCACAUUGGUACUGAGACACGGACCAAACUCCUACGGGAGGCAGCAGUGAGGAAUAUUGGUCAAUGGACGCAAGUCUGAACCAGCCAUGCCGCGUGCAGGAAGACGGCUCUAUGAGUUGUAAACUGCUUUUGUACUAGGGUAAACGCUCCUACGUGUAGGAGUCUGAAAGUAUAGUACGAAUAAGGAUCGGCUAACUCCGUGCCAGCAGCCGCGGUAAUACGGAGGAUCCAAGCGUUAUCCGGAUUUAUUGGGUUUAAAGGGUGCGUAGGCGGUUUGAUAAGUUAGAGGUGAAAUACCGGGGCUCAACUCCGGAACUGCCUCUAAUACUGUUGAACUAGAGAGUAGUUGCGGUAGGCGGAAUGUAUGGUGUAGCGGUGAAAUGCUUAGAGAUCAUACAGAACACCGAUUGCGAAGGCAGCUUACCAAACUAUAUCUGACGUUGAGGCACGAAAGCGUGGGGAGCAAACAGGAUUAGAUACCCUGGUAGUCCACGCAGUAAACGAUGAUAACUCGUUGUCGGCAAUACACAGUCGGUGACUAAGCGAAAGCGAUAAGUUAUCCACCUGGGGAGUACGUUCGCAAGAAUGAAACUCAAAGGAAUUGACGGGGGCCCGCACAAGCGGAGGAACAUGUGGUUUAAUUCGAUGAUACGCGAGGAACCUUACCCGGGCUCGAACGGCGCCUGAACCACCCAGAGAUGGGUGGGUCUUCGGACAGGUGCCGAGGUGCUGCAUGGUUGUCGUCAGCUCGUGCCGUGAGGUGUCGGCUCAAGUGCCAUAACGAGCGCAACCCCUGCCGCCAGUUGCCAUCAGGUCAAGCUGGGCACUCUGGCGGGACUGCCGGUGUAAGCCGAGAGGAAGGUGGGGAUGACGUCAAAUCAGCACGGCCCUUACGUCCGGGGCUACACACGUGUUACAAUGGUAGGUACAGAGGGCCGCUACCCCGUGAGGGGAUGCCAAUCUCGAAAGCCUAUCUCAGUUCGGAUCGGAGGCUGAAACCCGCCUCCGUGAAGUUGGAUUCGCUAGUAAUCGCGCAUCAGCCAUGGCGCGGUGAAUACGUUCCCGGGCCUUGUACACACCGCCCGUCAAGCCAUGGAAGCUGGGGGUGCCUGAAGUUCGUGACCGCAAGGAGCGACCUAGGGCAAAACCGGUGACUGGGGCU
rnacentral:rRNA from 1 species